rnacentral:rRNA from 1 species
GAUGAACGCUGGCGGCGUGCCUAAUACAUGCAAGUCGAGCGAACGGACGAGAAGCUUGCUUCUCUGAUGUUAGCGGCGGACGGGUGAGUAACACGUGGAUAACCUACCUAUAAGACUGGGAUAACUUCGUGAAACCGGAUCUAAUACCGGAUAAUAUUUUGAACCGCAUGGUUCAAAAGUUCAAGACGGUCUUGCUGUCACUUAUAGCUGGAUCCGCGCUGCAUUAGCUAGUUGGUAAGGUAACGGCCUACCAAGGCAACGAUGCAUAGCCGACCUGAGAGGGUGAUCGGCCACACUGGAACUGAGACACGGUCCAGACUCCUACGGGAGGCAGCAGUAGGGAAUCUUCCGCAAUGGGCGAAAGCCUGACGGAGCAACGCCGCGUGAGUGAUGAAGGUCUUCGGAUCGUAAAACUCUGUUAUUAGGGAAGAAAAUAUGUGUAAGUAACUGUGCACAUCUUGACGGUACCUAAUCAGAAAGCCACGGCUAACUACGUG